rnacentral:rRNA from 1 species
AUACGAAGGGGGCUAGCGUUGUUCGGAUUUACUGGGCGUAAAGCGCACGUAGGCGGAUUGAUCAGUUAGGGGUGAAAUCCCGAGGCUCAACCUCGGAACUGCCUUUAAUACUGUCAGUCUAGAGACCGGAAGAGGUGAGUGGAACUCCUAGUGUAGAGGUGGAAUUCGUAGAUAUUAGGAAGAACACCAGUGGCGAAGGCGGCUCACUGGCUCGGUACUGACGCUGAGGUGCGAAAGCGUGGGGAGCAAACAGGAUUAGAAACCCGUGUAGUCC